rnacentral:lncRNA from 1 species
UGAAAAAUAAAUAAAAUGAAAUGGAAAAGAAAUAAAAGAACAAAGUGCAUGCACUGGGGGUUGAACCCCUGACCUUGGGGUCAUGGGGGAUUAACCCCUUCAUCCACUGGGCCAAGAGCCCUUUGGUGAAUUAAAAAUGCGUUGAUCAAAUAAAAUAAUAAAUAAAAGGCUAAAAAUAAAACACACGAGAAUCAACCAAUCAGAGUGGGACACAUGAUUCUUUUGAAUUCAAAAACACACGCGAGGCAACGAACUCAGAGUCGUCUU